CUCAGUAACACGUGGACAACCUGCCCUUAGGUUGGGUAUAAACCCGGGAAACUGGGUAUAAUACCCGAUAGGUCUCGAUUGCUGGAAUGCAUCGAGAUUUAAAGCUCCGGCGCCUAAGGAUGGGUCUGCGGCCUAUCAGGUAGUAGUGGGUGUAGCGUACCUACUAGCCUACGACGGGUACGGGUUGUGAGAGCAAGAGCCCGGAGAUGGAUUCUGAGACACGAAUCCAGGCCCUACGGGGUGCAGCAGGCGCGAAAACUUUACAAUGCUGGCAACAGCGAUAAGGGAACCUCGAGUGCCAGGUUACAAAUCUGGCUGUCGAGAUGCCUAAAAAGCAUUUCAUAGCAAGGGCCGGGCAAGACCGGUGCCAGCCGCCGCGGUAACACCGGCGGCUCGAGUGGUAACCGUUAUUAUUGGGUCUAAAGGGUCUGUAGCCGGCCGGAUAAGUCUCUUGAGAAAUCUGGCAGCUUAACUGUCAGGCUUUCAGGAGAUACUGUCUGGCUCGAGGCCGGGAGAGGUGAGAGGUACUUCAGGGGUAGGGGUGAAAUCUUGUAAUCCUUGAAGGACCACCAGUGGCGAAGGCGUCUCACCAGAACGGACCUGACGGCAAGGGACGAAAGCUAGGGGCACGAACCGGAUUAGAUACCCGGGUAGUCCUAGCCGUAAACGAUACUCGCUAGGUGUCGGCCACGGUGCGACCGUUGUCGGUGCCGUAGGGAAGCCGUGAAGCGAGCCACCUGGGAAGUACGGCCGCAAGGCUGAAACUUAAAGGAAUUGGCGGGGGAGCACCACAACGGGUGGAGCUUGCGGUUUAAUUGGAUUCAACGCCGGAAAUCUUACCGGGACCGACAGCAAUAUGAAGGCCAGGCUGAAGACUUUGCCGGAUUAGCUGAGAGGUGGUGCAUGGCCGUCGUCAGUUCGUACUGUGAAGCAUCCUGUUAAGUCAGGCAACGAGCGAGACCCAAAUCACUAGUG
rnacentral:rRNA from 1 species